rnacentral:rRNA from 1 species
AGAGUUGAUUAUGGCUCAGGAUGAACGCUAGCGACAGGCUUAACACAUGCAAGUCGAGGGGCAGCAUAAAAGUAGCAAUACUUGGUGGCGACCGGCGCACGGGUGAGUAACGCGUAUGCAACCUACCUAUCAGAGGGGAAUAACCCGGCGAAAGUCGGACUAAUACCGCAUAAACAGGGGCACCGCAUGGUGAUAUUUGUUAAAGAAAUUCGCUGAUAGAUGGGCAUGCGUUCCAUUAGGUAGUUGGUGAGGUAACGGCUCACCAAGCCGACGAUGGGUAUCCGGCCUGAGAGGGUGUACGGACACAUUGGGACUGAGAUACGGCCCAAACUCCUACGGGAGGCAGCAGCUAAGAAUAUUCCGCAAUGGACGAAAGUCUGACGGAGCGACGCCGCGUGGAUGAAAAGAAGGCCGGAAGGUUGUAAAAUCCUUUUGCUGAUGAAGAAUAAGUGUGGUAGGGAAUGACCGCAUGAUGACAUUAGUCGGUGAAUAAGCCCCGGCUAACUACGUGCCAGCCGCCGC